CGAAUGCUGACAUAAGUAACGAUAAAGCGGGUGAAAAGCCCGCUCGCCGGAAGACCAAGGGUUCCUGUCCAACGUUAAUCGGGGCAGGGUGAGUCGACCCCUAAGGCGAGGCCGAAAGGCGUAGUCGAUGGGAAACAGGUUAAUAUUCCUGUACUUGGUGUUACUGCGAAGGGGGGACGGAGAAGGCUAUGUUGGCCGGGCGACGGUUGUCCCGGUUUAAGCGUGUAGGCUGGUUUUCCAGGCAAAUCCGGAAAAUCAAGGCUGAGGCGUGAUGACGAGGCACUACGGUGCUGAAGCAACAAAUGCCCUGCUUCCAGGAAAAGCCUCUAAGCAUCAGGUAACAUCAAAUCGUACCCCAAACCGACACAGGUGGUCAGGUAGAGAAUACCAAGGCGCUUGAGAGAACUCGGGUGAAGGAACUAGGCAAAAUGGUGCCGUAACUUCGGGAGAAGGCACGCUGAUAUGUAGGUGAAGUCCCUCGCGGAUGGAGCUGAAAUCAGUCGAAGAUACCAGCUGGCUGCAACUGUUUAUUAAAAACACAGCACUGUGCAAACACGAAAGUGGACGUAUACGGUGUGACGCCUGCCCGGUGCCGGAAGGUUAAUUGAUGGGGUCAGCGCAAGCGAAGCUCUUGAUCGAAGCCCCGGUAAACGGCGGCCGUAACUAUAACGGUCCUAAGGUAGCGAAAUUCCUUGUCGGGUAAGUUCCGACCUGCACGAAUGGCGUAAUGAUGGCCAGGCUGUCUCCACCCGAGACUCAGUGAAAUUGAACUCGCUGUGAAGAUGCAGUGUACCCGCGGCAAGACGGAAAGACCCCGUGAACCUUUACUAUAGCUUGACACUGAACAUUGAGCCUUGAUGUGUAGGAUAGGUGGGAGGCUUUGAAGUGUGGACGCCAGUCUGCAUGGAGCCGACCUUGAAAUACCACCCUUUAAUGUUUGAUGUUCUAACGUGGACCCGUGAUCCGGGUUGCGGACAGUGUCUGGUGGGUAGUUUGACUGGGGCGGUCUCCUCCUAAAGAGUAACGGAGGAGCACGAAGGUUGGCUAAUCCUGGUCGGACAUCAGGAGGUUAGUGCAAUGGCAUAAGCCAGCUUGACUGCGAGCGUGACGGCGCGAGCAGGUGCGAAAGCAGGUCAUAGUGAUCCGGUGGUUCUGAAUGGAAGGGCCAUCGCUCAACGGAUAAAAGGUACUCCGGGGAUAACAGGCUGAUACCGCCCAAGAGUUCAUAUCGACGGCGGUGUUUGGCACCUCGAUGUCGGCUCAUCACAUCCUGGGGCUGAAGUAGGUCCCAAGGGUAUGGCUGUUCGCCAUUUAAAGUGGUACGCGAGCUGGGUUUAGAACGUCGUGAGACAGUUCGGUCCCUAUCUGCCGUGGGCGCUGGAGAACUGAGGGGGGCUGCUCCUAGUACGAGAGGACCGGAGUGGACGCAUCACUGGUGUUCGGGUUGUCAUGCCAAUGGCACUGCCCGGUAGCUAAAUGCGGAAGAGAUAAGUGCUGAAAGCAUCUAAGCACGAAACUUGCCCCGAGAUGAGUUCUCCCUGACCCUUUAAGGGUCCUGAAGGAACGUUGAAGACGACGACGUUGAUAGGCCGGGUGUGUAAGCGCAGCGAUGCGUUGAGCUAACCGGUACUAAUGAACCGUGAGGCUUAACCUUACAACGCCGAAGGUGUUU
rnacentral:rRNA from 7 species